ensembl:snoRNA
UUGUAUCCACUGUUCAACAAUUUGUGAUUGAUUGUUUGGCUUGCAGAAGAAGGCAAAAGGAAAAUAACCCCUCCACUUUUGUCUGUCUUUGUGGUGGCUCAGAUUGAAUUGGGGAGUACAUCA